rnacentral:rRNA from 1 species
GAUGAACGCUGGCGGCGUGCUUAACACAUGCAAGUCGAACGGAGAUUACUUUUUAGCUUGCUAAGUUGUAAUCUUAGUGGCGGACGGGUGAGUAACGCGUGGGUAACCUGCCUUAUCCAGGGGGAUAACAGUGAGAAAUUACUGCUAAUACCGCAUAAGCGCACAGUUUCGCAUGAAACAGUGUGAAAAGAUUUAUCGGGAUAAGAUGGACCCGCGUCUGAUUAGCUAGUUGGUGAGGUAACGGCCCACCAAGGCGACGAUCAGUAGGGGUUCUGAGAGGAAGGUCCCCCACAUUGGUACUGAGACACGGACCAAACUCC